GGGGGGGGGGGGGGGGGGGCUGGGUUUGCUAGCCCAGGGCGAACGGGCCCCGGGCUCCCCGAGCCCCAGGUGGCUCGGGAGCCACCUGGGUGCAAAGUUUAGAAAUUGAUCAUGAAAGGGACAGGCAGACUCCCGUUCACACUUUGGCAAUCUCCAAUCCGCCAUGGGAGAGAGGUGAAGCCAGGUGCUGACUGACAAUGGGAAUUUGCUGGGGCGCCCCUCAUUUUCCGGCCCCUAGCUUCACUGGAUAUCUCAGACCGGCCUUUGUUCUGGUCAACAACAGGACAUAAAUCACUCGUGUAUAGCGGCACAUCAUCUUCCUAUGAUGAGGAAACAAGGAGCUUGGGAGGAAUAUCCGUUGAAAGUGUGCCUAACGGGGAGAUCGUGCCCACUCCCGAUGUUAGGGUCUUCACCUUGGCUGAACUGCAGAAGUCACUAGAAACUCUUGGUCCUAUUCGCUCCUCGGAGGAGGAGGCUCUGGCAGAGUCUUCAAAGGCCACCUCAGUGGGGAGGGGUCCUCCCAUGGCCGAGGCAGGAUACCAAUUGCCGUCAAAAAAUGUAACCCGAAAGAGUGUGCGGGGAUUUAGAGAAUGGAUGUCAGAGGUUACUUUUCUAGGCAGGUUAUCCCAUCCUAACAUUGUCAGGCUGCUGGGGUAUUGUUCCGAGGAGGAAAAUCGACUCCUCAUCUAUGAGUACAUGCCAAAGGGUACCCUGAAAAUCACCUGUUUCGAAGAGGUAACCACUUUCCUGGAUCUUAAGGCUUAAGAUCGCUAUUGGAGCAGCCAAAGGCCUGUCAUACUUACUUCAGUUAGAAGAGAAGACCAAAUUAUUUGCAGGGACUUUAAGCCAUCGAAUAUAUUGCUAGACAGGGUCCUUGGAACAUAUGGCUAUGCUGCCCCUGAGUACAUAGCAGCUGGGCAUUUGUAUGCAAAGAGCAAUGUGUACAGUUUUGGGGUUGUGCUGCUUGAAAUACUGACAGGAAGACGGGCACACGAUCAUAGUCAGCCGUCUGGGGAGCACUUUAUCGUGGAGUGGGUCUGCCCGUAUGUAUCGAGAAGGAAAUUGGCAAGAGUGGUUGAUCCGCAGUUGGAAUGUAGGUAUCCUCUAAAGGCCGCUCUCAAAUUGGCUCAGCUUGCCUUCCACUGUCUCCAGAUGGAGCUCGAGAGCCGGCCUUCCAUGGACGAAGUCUUAAGGAAACUUGAAAAAAUCGCUACUUAUUAACUGAUUCCUGGCAUUGUCGAGCCUUCCUCUCACAACAGGUCGACAAGAACAUGGUUAGCAUUCUUUUAUGGAUUCUCAUUUCGAAGAGCCUGUCAGGUAUCUCUGAAUUCUGUGCGUGGCAUUGUACAGUGAAUUUGUUUUUAUUAGAAUUUGUUUUGUGAGACAUAUGGGCCUGUUUGGUUUUAAGCUAUUAUUUUAGAAUCA